rnacentral:rRNA from 1 species
UACGUAGGGGGCUAGCGUUGUCCGGAUUUAUUGGGCGUAAAGAGCGUGUAGGCGGCUGGGUAGGUCCGUUGUGAAAACUCGAGGCUCAACCUCGAGACGCCGAUGGAAACCAUCCAGCUAGAGUCCGGAAGAGGAGAGUGGAAUUCCGGGUGUAGCGGUGGAAUGCGUAGAGAUCCGGAAGAACACCGGUGGCGAAGGCGGCCUGCUGGGCAGUGGCUGACGCUGAGGCGCGACAGCGUGGGGAGCAAACAGG